rnacentral:misc_RNA from 1 species
CAGCAAUUAGAUUGGAUUACUCCUAUCAGUUUCCUAAAACUCUUCCAACAUGAUAAAUGGAAGAAAGAUUCCUCAGUAAGGACCCCAACAACUCAAGUACAUGACUUUCCUUAGGGACUCCUCUGACUGCUUUGCCUUGUCUUCCUUGAGUUUGCUUGAAAACAUGGCACAAGAAGAAGAAGAAGAGGAAGAGAGGUUCUUGGCCUGAGAG